AACCUAGCACACCUGCGGUGUGUACCUGCGGAAGGAUCAUUACCGGAGAGAGGCGACUCUCGAAGGCCCAAACCCACUGUGAACUUACCUUGGCUUCUAUGCUUCGGCAGGCGGUCCCAGGGGGGACCUUUGCGUGACAGCGCCUGCCGGAGGACCCAAACUCUUUUUUUUGGCAUCUGUCUGAAGAGACGUUAGGCCUCUUUAGGGGUCGAAAAUCGCUAAAAACUUUCAACAAUGGAU
rnacentral:misc_RNA from 1 species